rnacentral:piRNA from 1 species
UCCUGGGAGGUUGCUUAAAGCUGAAA